AGAGUUUGAUCCUGGCUCAGGACGAACGCUGGCGGCACGCUUAACACAUGCAAGUCGAACGAGAGAAGAGGAGCUUGCUUUUCUGAUCUAGUGGCGGACGGGUGAGUAACACGUGAGCAAUCUGCCUUUCAGAGGGGGAUACCGAUUGGAAACGAUCGUUAAUACCGCAUAACAUAAUUGAACCGCAUGAUUUGAUUAUCAAAGAUUUAUCGCUGAAAGAUGAGCUCGCGUCUGAUUAGCUAGUUGGUAAGGUAACGGCUUACCAAGGCGACGAUCAGUAGCCGGACUGAGAGGUUGAUCGGCCACAUUGGGACUGAGACACGGCCCAGACUCCUACGGGAGGCAGCAGUGGGGAAUAUUGCACAAUGGAGGAAACUCUGAUGCAGCGAUGCCGCGUGAGGGAAGAAGGUUUUAGGAUUGUAAACCUCUGUCUUCAGGGACGAAAAAAGACGGUACCUGAGGAGGAAGCUCCGGCUAACUACGUGCCAGCAGCCGCGGUAAUACGUAGGGAGCGAGCGUUGUCCGGAAUUACUGGGUGUAAAGGGAGCGUAGGCGGGAUCGCAAGUCAGAUGUGAAAACUAUGGGCUUAACCCAUAAACUGCAUUUGAAACUGUGGUUCUUGAGUGAAGUAGAGGUAGGCGGAAUUCCUAGUGUAGCGGUGAAAUGCGUAGAUAUUAGGAGGAACAUCAGUGGCGAAGGCGGCUUACUGGGCUUUAACUGACGCUGAGGCUCGAAAGCGUGGGGAGCAAACAGGAUUAGAUACCCUGGUAGUCCACGCCGUAAACGAUGAUUACUAGGUGUGGGGGGACUGACCCCUUCCGUGCCGCAGCAAACGCAAUAAGUAAUCCACCUGGGGAGUACGACCGCAAGGUUGAAACUCAAAGGAAUUGACGGGGGCCCGCACAAGCAGUGGAGUAUGUGGAUUAAUUCGAAGCAACGCGAAGAACCUUACCAGGUCUUGACAUCGUAUGCAUAGCUCAGAGAUGAGUGAAAUCUCUUCGGAGACAUAUAGACAGGUGGUGCAUGGUUGUCGUCAGCUCGUGUCGUGAGAUGUUGGGUUAAGUCCCGCAACGAGCGCAACCCUUACUGUUAGUUGCUACGCAAGAGCACUCUAGCAGGACUGCCGUUGACAAAACGGAGGAAGGUGGGGAUGACGUCAAAUCAUCAUGCCCCUUAUGACCUGGGCCUCACACGUACUACAAUGGCUAUCAACAGAGGGAAGCAAAGCCGCGAGGUGGAGCGAACCCCUAAAAGCAGUCUUAGUUCGGAUUGUAGGCUGCAACCCGCCUACAUGAAGUCGGAAUUGCUAGUAAUCGCAGAUCAGCAUGCCGCGGUGAAUACGUUCCCGGGCCUUGUACACACCGCCCGUCACGCCAUGGGAGUCGGUAACACCCGAAGCCUGUAGUCUAACCGCAAGGAGGACGCAGUCGAAGGUGGGAUUGAUGACUGGGGUGAAGUCGUAACAAGGUA
rnacentral:rRNA from 1 species